UGGAAUGGGUCCUGGAGCACCUGGCCCACCCAGAGGUGGUCGACCAAUGGGAAUGCAUCCAUCAUUUACACCACCCCCACCACCGCCCUCUCAAAAUCCUCGGGUCAAAAAGGAUCAGCGAGCUCCUUUUAAUGAAAGGAACGAUAGAUUCAGUUCAGGUCCAGACCAAGGUAGGGGUCAAGAGACUGCAGGCUCAGUUGUUGGACCAGAUGAAGG
rnacentral:misc_RNA from 1 species